rnacentral:rRNA from 1 species
CCUACGGGUGGCAGCAGUGAGGAAUAUUGGUCAAUGGGCGGAAGCCUGAACCAGCCAAGUCGCGUGAGGGAUUAAGGCCCUGCGGGUCGUAAACCUCUUUUGCCGGGGAGCAGAGGUCCGGACGUGUCCGGGCCGGGAGAGUACCCGGAGAAAAAGCAUCGGCUAACUCCGUGCCAGCAGCCGCGGUAAUACGGAGGAUGCGAGCGUUAUCCGGAUUUAUUGGGUUUAAAGGGUGCGUAGGCGGGCUUUUAAGUCAGCGGUAAAAAUUCGGGGCUCAACCCCGUCCGGCCGUUGAAACUGGGGGCCUUGAGUGGGCGAGAAGAAGGCGGAAUGCGUGGUGUAGCGGUGAAAUGCAUAGAUAUCACGCAGAACCCCGAUUGCGAAGGCAGCCUUCCGGCGCCCUACUGACGCUGAGGCACGAAAGUGCGGGGAUCGAACAGGAUUAGAUACCCUUGUAGUC